CGUCAAGGCCUGACGGCGCUGCCGCUCAUCUCUCGAGUGCACAUCAUCUGACACACCCACCGGCCCGCACCCACACACGGCAGCACCAAAGAUCACCAUCCGUGUCGUUGCGUGCGUGCCAAUCAAGAAGGAUGCUGCUGUCCUCCCCCGCGGCGGCAGCGCCGAACGCCAGUGGCGGCGGCAGUGGUGGUGCAGCCGCUGGCGACGAGGUUGUCUCGCCCACCCUGGAAACAUCGACGGCGCUUUCCACAGCGCAUGCGCAGCUCGUGCUUUUAGAAUAUGCGAUUCGUGCUGCUGCCGCCAGCGCUGUCCCCAGUGAUGCCUCUGCCCAGUCACAUCGAAAGGCAUCCGAAGCGACGCGCACAAUGAGCGCGACCGUGGGCUCGCAAAACUCCCUGCUCCCCGGGCCUGUACCGGCUGAGUCCGGCUCUCCGACGAGCAUCAUGGCGGCGACGCGGCUGUCCAGUGUGACGGCAACAGCGCCGUCAGGUGCCAGCGAACGGCUCAGCGCGCUGCACGACAACCUGCGGCGUGUUCGGCGCCUCAUGCAGCAAUACGAGGAGGCCUCGCAGCGCGUCAUCAAGGUACACCUGCUUCCCUCCUCCGAGACGGGCGAGGAGACUCUCGGGUCAGUGGCCACGCCCACUGCGCAUGCCGUUCAAAGGACGAAGGAGGUGACUCCGCAGCAGCCGAGCGUCUCGGUCGCCGCAGCCGCAGCAGCAGCAGACCGCCCGUUUCUUGAGCAGCACAGCUCAAACUCGGCAAACGUUGCCAGCAGCGGCAAACCAGCCGCAGAGCAGCAGAACACCCUCCCGUCCCUGCACCAGCGCCGAGCGCUUGCCAGCGACGCCGUCUUCACGCGUUUCUGCGGGUUGCGCGUCACUCCUGAUCAGUUGCUCCUGCCACUUCCGCCGCCAGCGACCCCGACCGCCUCACCUGCAUCGCCCGAGUUCGCGCAGCAGCGCAUGUCACCGCGAGGCAUCGACGACGACGCUGAGGAAAAAAAGAGCGGAAAUGGGAGUGGCUUGGUGAGCCACUACUCCGAGCCCGUGAAGAAGCGUGGUAGCAACAACAAAACCAGCAGCAGCCAGAUGGUGGGUAGCCGGAAUGCGAAAGCCCAGCACAGCUCGGCUUCCAGCAGCCCCAGGCACUCUCCCGUGUCUCGCACGGCGCAGCAACGGAAGCGCACGAGCGCCGAGGCCGUACUGGAGGAAUACGCGAAGCUCUUCUAUCGCCCCUCCGCCACAGCGGCAUCGCCGCCGGCGGCACCGUCAGACAACACUAAAGUCACCAAAGCGGGAAGCCUGUCCUCAUCGACACCGACUGAUGACGGUGAAGUGGCGCAACCGCUACAGGAGACGCAGCAGCAGUUUGCGGCCCUGCAGCUGUGUCAUCUGUUUGCCUACGAGGCACACCUGAGGUCUGCGGCUGCGCUUGCUGAUAGCCAGGGCAAAGACAAUGACGUCAGUACCAUCACAAGAGGAAUAACAGCUGUCGGGGCAGCGACAACCGGCGCGCAAGUCGACGAUAUCAGUUGGCAGCACAUACCUGUCGCCGUUCAGCACAUGCAGGACAGCCUCACCGCGCUGCAGGCCCGUUUUACGCGUGACUCGCACUACGCCAGCUGCGGCGGACAACCAAUCGCCCUCGUGCAUCAGUUGCAAACCUGGACGCAGCCGCUGAUCCAGAAUUUGAACGAGCUCCUCUCGAACUCCACCUUGGAGGAAACGGACGAGAACACGCGUGAGAAGCUGCGACGCAUGAAGUUUGACGCGGAGGAGCUGCAGCAGGCGCAGGCGCAGGCAAUCUCGAACGGCGAUAUGCAGCGCUCCGAGGAGCUCUAUUACGAGCAGGCGUCGCUGGCUGAGGCGAUGGCAGGGCCCUACGACGAGUUGGAGGCGAUAAUGCGGAAGUACGGAGAGGUGUGCGUCGACGCGCCGCUGACGCGCGUGCUGGAGCAGCGCGAUCUGCUUACGACGCGGCUGACGCGCGUGAUCGAGGAGCACACGAGCAAACUCUCGGAGGUCACCCUCGAUGCGGAGCGGGUGAAGGAGAAGCGGCGGGCCGUGGCGCAGGCGCGUCAUCGACAGCGCAACAAUAUGUCGACGUACAACCACACAUGGAAGAAGGCGUGGCAGACGAACAGCGACCAGCAGAUGGCGUGCUACCGCGCGAUGGAGCAGCUGGAGAAGCAGCUGAACGACCUGCAGCAGGCGCAAAGCUUCCUCGUAGACGACUGGAUCAGCCAUGUCACGCAGGAGCGCCAGAGGGAGGCGGACGCGGCAUCCUUUGCGUGCUUCGCAGACGCCAGGGCAGCCGCCCUCGCCGAGACGCAGCGCAACCUACAGACAGUUGUCGAUGGCGUGCGCCAGUACAGUGGGGCUGUGCAGUUUAGCUGCCGUCACGUCGAGGCCUUCGUCCGCGAGGUGCUGCGAGGUCAUCUCAGCCACUCUCAGGUGGCGCUUCGCAAGGACCGACUGGAGCAGUUCCGCGCCCUCUACCUCACGCUCGGCGACCUGCGCUUCAAGAAGGCGCGCAACGCCGAGGAAAUCGAAAAGAAGAUUGAGUACUACACGCUGCAGCAGGAGGUUGCCAUGGACGCGCUCAACCCGAAGGCGAAGGAGUUCAGCAAAACCAAGCAGCGCUAUGAGGCCGCGAAGGCCGAGGUGCAGAAGCAGAUCGACCAGAUCGACCAGCGCAGUCGACUACAGCUUGAACGCUUCCGGCCGACGGAGCAGCUGCUCCGCGAGGCUGGCGUGGACUUUGUGUCCCCCGAGGAGGAGCUCGCCAGACGCACGCAGCAACGGUCGCAGAAGCUUCUCGAGUACCAGAAACUGAUAGAGGAUGGCAUCGGCGUGCGGCCGACCUCGAGCGCCGCCUCACGCUCCCCUGCGACGCUCACCACCGUCGCAGCUUCACAAGCGACGACCUCCUCUACUCGGACUGAAGGUGCGAAGGGCCUCACCGGCACGAAUGCGCCAUCGCCACCGCGGCUGCAAGCUGUCGGAUCGCUGCACUCCUGUCCACGGCCGCCGAGCGCGGGGGAAGCGGCCAACCCCACCGCUACUGCUUCUGGGGCCCUUUGUGGGAAGAACGGUCGUCAGUUGCCUCCACUUCGCAGAAUGAACCACACCUACCCGCCAUCGCAGCGCACUGAUCACAGCGACGGCAGCGACGAACCGACCGCGACGACAACAGAACCCUCGCCGCAAGGUGCAAAUCAGACCUCUACAGCUGCCACGGCGGCUGCUGCCCCCACAGCUGCCUCCUUGUCGAGCCUACACGCGACGGAGGAGCGCAUCAUGCAGGGCAUCUCCAAGAUGGCGGUGACCGAUCGCGGCAGGACCCACACCAGCAGCGGCGCGGCCUCCAUUAGAUGCAAGAGAAGCAAGCGAUAAUGUGAAACAAUGGAGGAUGGCGGUAGCACGCCAGAGCUGCGGCUCCAGAUGCCGUAUCAAGGUUCGCGCCCCUCUCUCCUGCUCUCACAUCCCUCCCCCUGGCUGAUGCACACACACAGCGCCUUUCGUGUGUGUGUUUGAUGUGGCACUCACGUUGAGCCGCAUCUUUUUUGGAGCUUCCCUCCGCCUUCGUGUGUCACACUUCUCCUCACUGCUGCCCCCCCCCAACCCCUCUGUCUCCUGGAUGUAGAAAGGGGUGGGGGUGGGGGGCCGCAAAGGAACAGAAAAGUAAAGUGUAUGCGAAAGGUUGUCGUGUGUGUGUGUGUGUGCGUGGGAGGGGUCGCUACGGUGCGCGGCGGCAGCGCCGUAUGCACAUAUGUAUACGUGUAUAUGUAUAUAAACACAUGUAUUGCUCCUUGGUCACCUAAACCCCCCUCACCUCCCCCUUCCCCACCCCUCGCUCCUCCUUGGCUCCUCCUGAUGACAGCAAGACGCAGACACGUCAGCCUCCACCCCACCUCACCCCACCCCCUUUCCCGUCUACACCUGGAUUUGCGUGGCAGCAUGUACAUCUAUAUUUGAUGGAUGGAUGGAUAAGGGGGAGGGAGGAGAGAGGGGGUAGGGAAGGUUUUGUCGACAGGGUUAGAUGAUGAUGAGGGAGGCAACAAUACGAGAACGAGAGUCCAUCAUCGAGAGCGGUACUGCAUCACACGCACGGCAAAGGUAGACUGAGCGGUGCAUGUCCAUGAUGGCCUGUUGCAUGUAGGCGUGUAGGCGAGCACCACCUCUUUCAUCGCCCUUGUCGCGGAGUGCUCUUUGUAUGUGUGGCUCGCUUUUCUCCGUGUUGUUGGCGCGUGUGCCCCUCGGCAUGGUCGCUCUUGUGCCAGCGUACGUGUCGGGGUGUGGUGUGUGAUUGGGAGGGAGGGGGGGCUGUACAAGCGCGAACAGCAGGGAAAGAGGGAGGGGAGUAGGUGGGUGGCGGUGGUGGUGGUGAUGGCAACGCAGCGUUGACGGACUGGAACGUUAUUUGCCUCAUUCCAGCGCACACGUCUUUCGGUCCCUCGCCGUCCACACAUACAUCCCACGUCCCACACGCUCUCCUCCUGCUCUCUCUCACGUGCCAGCAGUUGCCCAUUCUUGUCUGUGUGUUCUUGCGUGCUGCUCUCUUUCAGCGGCGAGUCUGUGGAGCGAUCGCGUUGGAUGAGGGUCAUGGCAUUCAACCAUCAGCCCUUCCACACAC
rnacentral:misc_RNA from 1 species